UCGAAGAGUUUGAUCAUGGCUCAGAUUGAACGUUGGCGGCAGGCCUCAUACAUGCAAGUCGAACGAGAAAGCCCCUUCGGGGGUGAGUACAGUGGCGGACGGGUGAGUAACGCGUAGGAAUCUGCCUGAUAGUGGGGGACAACCCGAGGAAACUCGGAUUAAUACCGCAUACGAUCUACGGAUGAAAGCGGGGGAUCUCAACGCGCCGGCGCAAGUCGGUGCGCGACCUCGCGCUAUCAGAGGAGCCUGCGUUGGAUUAGCUAGUUGGUGAGGUAAAGGCUCACCAAGGCUACGAUCCAUAGCUGGUCUGAGAGGACGAUCAGCCACACUGGAACUGAGACACGGUCCAGACUCCUACGGGAGGCAGCAGUAGGGAAUAUUGUGCAAUGGGCGAAAGCCUGACACAGCCAUGCCGCGUGUGUGAAGAAGGCCCUAGGGUUGUAAAGCACUUUCAGUGGCGAAGAAAAACUCCAUGCUAAUACCAUGGGGCGUUGACGUUAACCACAGAAGAAGUACCGGCUAACUCCGUGCCAGCAGCCGCGGUAAUACGGAGGGUACGAACGUUAAUCGGAAUUACUGGGCGUAAAGCGCGCGUAGGCGGUUCGCUAAGUGAGGUGUGAAAUCCCCGGGCUCAACCUGGGAACUGCACUUCAAACUGGCGGACUAGAGUGUAGUAGAGGGAGGCGGAAUUUCCUGUGUAGCGGUGAAAUGCGUAGAUAUAGGAAGGAACACCAGUGGCGAAGGCGGCCUCCUGGACUAACACUGACGCUGAGGCGCGAAAGCGUGGGGAGCAAACAGGAUUAGAUACCCUGGU
rnacentral:rRNA from 1 species